GCGGGCGUAGUUCAGUGGUAGAACGUCAGCUUCCCAAGCUGAAUGUCGUCGGUUCGAGUCCGAUCGUCCGCUCCA
rnacentral:tRNA from 1 species